rnacentral:tRNA from 1 species
AACAAUUUAGCAUAUUUGUGCACUGAGCUUAGACCUCAGAGGGAAUGUUAAAAAACGUUAAUUGUUA